GGCCUUGUAGCUCAGUGGUUAGAGCACUGGUCUCGUAAACCAGGGGUCGUGAGUCCGACUCUCACCAAGGCCU